GAUGAACGCUGGCGGCGUGCCUAAUACAUGCAAGUCGAGCGAACAGACGAGGAGCUUGCUCCUCUGACGUUAGCGGCGGACGGGUGGGUAACACGUGGAUAACCUACCUAUAAGACUGGGAUAACUUCGGGAAACCGGAGCUAAUACCGGAUAAUAUAUUGAACCGCAUGGUUCAAUAGUGAAAGACGGUUUUGCUGUCACUUAUAGAUGGAUCCGCGCCGCAUUAGCUAGUUGGUAAGGUAACGGCUUACCAAGGCGACGAUGCGUAGCCGACCUGAGAGGGUGAUCGGCCACACUGGAACUGAGACACGGUCCAGACUCCUACGGGAGGCAGCAGUAGGGAAUCUUCCGCAACGGGCGAAAGCCUGACGGAGCAACGCCGCGUGAGUGAUGAAGGUCUUCGGAUCGUAAAACUCUGUUAUUAGGGAAGAACAAAUGUGUAAGUAACUAUGCACGUCUUGACGGUACCUAAUCAGAAAGCCACGGCUAACUACGUG
rnacentral:rRNA from 1 species